GAUGAACGCUGGCGGCGUGCCUAAUACAUGCAAGUCGAGCGAAGCGGGGACGGGUGAGUAACACGUGGAUAACCUCCUAUAAGACUGGGAUAACUUCGGGAAACCGGGGCUAUACCGGAUACUUAUCGAUGGAUCCGCGCUGCAUUAGCUAGUUGGUAAGGUAACGGCUUACCAAGGCAACGAUGCAUAGCCGACCUGAGAGGGUGACCGGCCACACUGGAACGGAGACACGGUCCAGACUCCUACGGGAGGCAGCAGUGGGGAAUCUUGCGCAAUGGGCGAAAGCCUGACGGAGCAACGCCGCGUGAUUGAUGAAGGUCUUCGGAUCGUAAAGCUCUUUUAUUAGGGAAGCGGUACCUAAUCAGAAAGCCACGGCUAACUACGUGCCAGCCGCCGCGGUAAUUC
rnacentral:rRNA from 1 species